GUAAAUCCCAACUAAACACCUAAAUCGAAGGUAGUCAAAGCAUUCAGUUAAUCCCCUAGGCCCAGUUGGAGGCCGCUGAAAUCAAUUCAUCUUCAGCUAUACUCUGCCAUCAAUUGCGAAAACCAUACUUUUAGCAAGAAAAGCAAACGGGUUUCUUCAUCGGAGGCCGCUGAGAAUCUCAGUCAAUCCAAUCACACUCGUAUCUGUCAGGGCCUACGCAUUAGUCUCAGAGCACUGUUUGAUUGAUAGAUAAAAGGAGUUUAGUUGUAAAGAUAGUAUGACAGUGGGAACCAAAGAGGGUAGCUUAUGGAAGGUGAGUGACAAUUCUGACUACUCAGGUAGUCAAAAACAUGAGACUGUGGACCCCAAGAGUGGGGAGAAUGAACUGAAUGAAUUGAUUAGGUGGUCUUUAGGUACUGUGAGACCGGAGGUUGCAAUCGAUUUGGGGAAGCCAACAUGGCGGAUUAUCAAGUGUGACAGCUCCGAUAAUUCUUUGGAAGAGCUUGCUGCUGACAAAGGUGAAGGAUGUCCGUCGAAAUUCUUGACUAUGUGCCUGAACUCAGUUCAGGAAGCUCUGUAUCAAGAUGAGCCGUAUAAUUCCAAAGAUGACAAGCCUUAUUUUACCGAUUCUUGGGGAUUUGAUUUUUGGAGUUGUUACAACAAAGGAAUUGAUGUGUUGGAUAAAGAUGGAGUUGAUUCUAAGGCUAGGAAGAUCACUUGGAUAGCAUCAACUGCUGCUGAUUCAAUCUCAAUGAAGGAGGAAGAGGAAGAGGCAGGGGCAAAGGCAGAGGCAGAGGGUGUAUCAUUAGAUAGACCUUUUCUUUUGUACCUUGUGCCGUCUCAAGAAAAAGCUUCCAAGGUGCUCGAGGUCUGCAAGACUUUGGAAGAAUGUGGCUAUGUACAUAGUUUUUGCACUCGGGUGUUUCCAUGGAUCUCCAAAUUGAAAAGUUAGCCUUAGCACCCAAAAAGUCCCUCAAUCUUAAGCCAGUAACUCGGUUCAUAUUAUUUCCUGUUUAAAGAGUUCUGAACCUGAGUUUAUAAUCGCCACCCCAGAGACGCUCCUAGAGCUUCUGUCAUUGAAGGCGGUUGAUAUUUCCGAGUUGGCAUUAAUGGUUAUAGAUGGACUAGAAGCCCCUGUCGGAGGUACUUACCUCGAUGCUGUCAAAUCAAUCCGACCAUUUAUCUCUGGAAAUACCCAAACUGUCAUUUUCUGCGAUCACAUGAAUGCUUCAUCCCCUCUGCUGGUUCUAAAGCUGAUCCAUGAUCAAACUGCCUAAUGAUUUCUUGGUGCUUUAUCGUCUCAAUUUUUUUGAAGGAGAUGAUAGCUAUUUUAGGGCUUCAAUAAAUUCUUUUUUCCUCGUUCAAUUUUGAUCCUUCUCCAUACACAACACGAAGACGACUUCGCUUGGUUCUUGGCACGAAGAAAAUCUUUACGUCCCGACUACAACUGAUUCGAAGAAUGCAUAAAAUUUUUUGUUGUUGAAGAGUUUGAGGUCAUAUGUUUUGUGGGUGUGUUUCUUCUACUUCUUUGGGAUUGUGAAUCCAAUCUUUUUUUGGUGUGACACUAUUAACUGUCAAAUGAAGAAAGCUUGAGUUUGGUUUUAUUACUA